GUCACUGGGGCUGUGUGCUAAAUACUUUCUGUAACUUCCUGGUUGAAUCAGAUGAUCUUUGCUGCGAUUACUGGAUAGCAGGAAUUCGAUGUUUCUCCACCGAUUUAAAUAAAUAAAUAAAUACAUAAAAAAGAAGUAGGAAUACUAAUAGCAAUAAAAUAAGAAUAUUUAGAGGUCUCUCAACUCACAGGUUUUGAGAUGUGGAUUCAGAUCUCUCUUCUGAAACUCUGAAAUAAGAAGUGAGUUUUGUAACAUACAGACAGUAAAAUGACAAGAAAACAAAAAGAAAUGUCAGUUGAAAAUGCAACUGAAAAGAAUGAAAUGCAGAAAAAGGAGAGUGCACUGAGAGAUGAAGUCAAACCUGCACAGAAGGAAAAAACAGAGAAGGAAGGGAAAGAAAAUGCCUGUGGAUUUAGAGAACAUUUAAAAGUGCACCAGACGAACAGCUCUGACAGAUUUCGACCAACUUUUUCUCUUGAUCAAGACAGACCUGCAUAGUGUUGUUCUGAUGUGACAGAGAAAUUCAAAGAUGAAGAAGCUGCAGUUAAACUGGCAGAAUGUUCAUCAAGUCCAUUUCAGUCAAUGAUUCACAAUGAGACUGGAAUACAAAGGUGUUUUUUUUUAAACCUGAAACGCAUCCAAUUAUCUACUUGAGUGUCUUAUUCAAGUGCACUAUGAUCCCAUUGAGUUGCUUGAACCAAAUUAAUGUCUGUAUUAUUUUUACAGAAAAAUUAUUUAUGAGAGGUCAUGUAAGUGUCAAUGUACGUGAACAAGUGUCUAUGUUCUUAGUCAUUUUGGCCAUUGUAUAAUUUGCUAAUUUCUGUGUUUAUUAUUUUAUUUUUUGUUGAUGGUGUUUUUGCACUGCAUCAGUGCACAAUAAAUAUUAUACAAUUAUAAAAAUGUGUCAGUUGAUUUACACCUCCAGCAGAAUGUUCCAAAAUUUGAGCAGCUAUAUGAAGAAAAUAUAUAAUUGAACUUUUGCUAUACUUUCAGGAGGUUUACAUUGUACUGUCAGAAUGUUCCUGCUGGUCUAUAGAAUACAACCAAUAAAAAAUAC